UACGUAGGGUGCAAGCGUUGUCCGGAAUUAUUGGGCGUAAAGAGCUCGUAGGCGGUUUGUCGCGUCGAAUGUGAAAACCCGGGGCUCAACUCCGGGCCUGCAUUCGAUACGGGCAGACUAGAGUUCGGUAGGGGAGACUGGAAUUCCUGGUGUAGCGGUGAAAUGCGCAGAUAUUAGGAGGAACACCGGUGGCGAAGGCGGGUCUCUGGGCCGAUACUGACGCUGAGGAGCGAAAGCGUGGGGAGCGAACAGG
rnacentral:rRNA from 1 species